UUUGAGAUCCUUCUGAAUCUCGUCGAGAGCUGUCUUACUCGUCGCCAGCACACAUAUAUGUUGGAAAGAAGGCUCGAGACGACGAAGCGUUGUUAUGUUUGCUCUGACUGCGUGGCGAGCAACUUCCAUUACAUCUCUAGAUAGGUACAGUCCUUGUUUCCCUUCUCUGUCUUCUCUCAACUCCAUGCUCUUGUAGCUUGUGUCAUCCAUGCCUUUAUGUGUUCUCACCAGCUGUUAAUAGUAUCAUGAGUCAAAACAAAGAUCAGAGCAAGAGUGAUGUUUAUAUGUUAUGACCACCUGCAUAAGCUGAUAUUUGGAGCGCCAUUUAUCGAUACGCCGACUAGAGAGCAUGACCGCAGCUGCUCCCAUCCGGA
rnacentral:lncRNA from 1 species